rnacentral:rRNA from 1 species
AUUGAACGCUGGCGGCAGGCCUAACACAUGCAAGUCGAGCGGAGGGGCAGACGGGUGCGUAAUGCCUAGGAAUCUGCCAGGUCGUGGGGGAUAACGUCAGGUAACGGGCGCUGAUACCGCUACCUAUCGGCUUAGCAUAGAUCGGAUUAGCUGGUUGGUGGGGUGAAGGCCUACCAAGGCGACGAUCCGUAACUGGUCUGAGAGGAAGAGCAGUCACACUGGAACUGAGACACGGUCCAGAAUCCUACGGGAGGCAGCAGUGGGGAAUAUUGGACAAUGGGAGAAAGCCUGAUCCAGCCAUGCUGCGUGUGUGAAGAAGGUCUUCGGAUUGUAAAGCACUUUAAGGUGGGAGGCGUUACCAGCAGAAUAAGCACCGGCUAACUUCGUGCCAGCAGCCGCGGUAAUAC